UACGUAGGUGGCGAGCGUUAUCCGGAAUCAUUGGGCGUAAAGAGGGAGCAGGCGGUCUGAGAGGUCUGUGGUGAAAGCCCGAAGCUAAACUUCGGUAAGCCAUGGAAACCGGCGGACUAGAGUGCGGCAGAGGAACGUGGAAUUCCAUGUGUAGCGGUGAAAUGCGUAGAUAUAUGGAGGAACACCAGUGGCGAAGGCGACGUUCUGGGCCGCAACUGACGCUCAGUCCCGAAAGCGUGGGGAGCAAAUAGG
rnacentral:rRNA from 1 species